AACACAUUUUCAAUGUUGAAAGGCUAGAAUAAAAUAUACCAAGCAAACGGCCCCAUAAAGAGGUGUGAGUUGCAAUCCUAAUCUCACAUAAAAUAGACUUCAA